rnacentral:rRNA from 1 species
GACGAACGCUGGCGGCGUGCUUAACACAUGCAAGUCGAACGGAAAGGCCCCUUUGGGGGUACUCGAGUGGCGAACGGGUGAGUAACACGUGCGUAACCUGCCCUUGACUUCGGGAUAACUUCAGGAAACUGGGGCUAAUACCGGAUAGGAAUCCUUGCUGCAUUGUGGGGGUUGGAAAGCUUCGGCGGUUUUGGAUGGACUCGCGGCUUAUCAGCUUGUUGGUGGGGUAGUGGCUUACCAAGGCUUUGACGGGUAGCCGGCCUGAGAGGGCGACCGGCCACAGUGGGACUGAGAUACGGCCCAGACUCCUACGGGAGGCAGCAGUGGGGAAUAUUGCACAAUGGGCGGAAGCCUGAUGCAGCAACGCCGCGUGCGGGAUGACGGCCUUCGGGUUGUAAACCGCUUUCAGCAGGGGCGAAGCUUGUGGUGACGGUACCUGCAGAAGAAGCACCGGCUAACUACGUG